rnacentral:lncRNA from 1 species
GAAAAAAAAAAAGAACGAGAGAAGUGAAGAAGAGAGAGAAAGAGGAAAGAGAAAAAGUAAUAAGGGUAUUUUGGUCAGUUUGCUGAAAAAGCGGACCGAAUCUGCAAAAAUGAAAAAGGUGGCCCGAUUUUGCAAAAGCUCAAAAUAAGUGGAUUUUUUAUGCAAAUUGGCCAAAUUUUGUUAUUAUCUUCUUGUAAGCCGAAAGACUAUAAAUAGGGGCCCUAUUGGCUCUUAUAAAUCAUUCCAUUUUUAGAGAGAAUUUAUAUAUAGAGUCUUCUACAUAUAAAUAUUGUGUUCUUUUCUUUUCUUUUUCUUUUUAAUCUGGUUUCAGAUAUCCAUCGAGGAGACGCUGCGACAUUGCUUCCUCCUCCGACGGAUCAUGAACUCCAACGAAUUGAAAUUUUAGCUUAGAACUCUAGAUGACCAGAACGUCAUGACGAUGAACUUUGCAAAGCUAAUUAAAUCUACCAAACUAUAGAUUUUAAUUUGGUACCGGUACUGGACUGAAGUAUCGGUACUCAAUUGCGAAGAGAUAGGGAGAGUUCUCUGGUUUUGCAAAACUCUCCCAAGUAUCGAUUAUAAUUUGCUGAGUACCGAUACUCAUUCGGGCACGUCUAGUACACAAUAGACAACAGUGAAAUCCAGUGUUCGGGUUCUGUGGAACUGGUCUAGAGUACCGAAACUGCUGAGUGGUAUACUGGUACUAAAGCUCGCGUAUCAGUGCUCAACUCUGCGAACAAUAUAUUUCAGCUAGUUGCAGAUAUGAUUGAUUAGAGAGUUUAAAUGAAAUUUUAGCACUCCAUAUAACCCUUCAUAGCCAAACACUCAUUUCUCUCUCACACAUUAUCUCUUCUCCCUCUAAAAGGGAAAAAAGCCUUGCUUUGUCCCUAUUGUUGGAUCUCUUUGAUCUAUCACAUUGGAGGCUUAGAGGAGAUCUAGAACGCCAACGAGAAGCUCAUGGAGGGAGAAGGCAACUAUCUCAACCCACAUUCGUUCCAUUUGGAGGAGAAGAGAUGAGUUGAAGUUUAGGAUUUGUUUUUAGAGCUUUUUUCAAAUUGGAGAUUUUUGGGUUCUAACUUGAUUAGAACUUCUUUUUAGGGUUUAAUUUCUUGAGGUUCUAAUGAGAUAAUUAAAAAAGAAUCCCCUAAGAAGAUUUAAGUAGAGAUGGAGAAUAUCACUGAAAUAAAUUUGAUUUUCUUUUGGUCUAAAGUUUUUUUAGUUCAAAUGCAUGUAUUUUUAUAUAGUGUAGACCAAGAUGUCAUGCAUGUGCGUGUAAGGAGACUUGAGAGGUCUUAUGGGCUUAGGAGCACUUGACCUAAAAAAUAAGAUUUUCAACCUAUUUGCCAUGUUAAAAUAUGAGCACAUGCCAUAUGUAAAUCGAGUAUUAUGUGAACCUUAAAACAUAGAUGACUUUAUAGAGGUAUUAAACCUAGGAUGGAACCUAAGGUGCGGCACAUAAUGACACAUGAAUUCUGAACAAAACUUGAGCUUGAGAAGAAGGAAAUUUGUGAAUGAACUUUGCGAAUAUCCUAGCGGACAUGAGAACUUAAGGUGUUACUAAGAUAUAAGUCAUGACCUUCUGGAAGUGUUAUAUUGGGUGAUGUUGAUUACCCUUGAUGCCCUACUCCAUAUAGGGUGAUGCCGAUUGCCCUCGACACCCUAUAUUGUUCUUGGAGCAAUUUCCUUCGACUCCAAAUGCCUACUGAUUGGAGUUGUUGAUUGCCUUCAACUCUUCAUGAAGUGUUUAGCAAGAGGUGGAACCAAACUAAAUGGUUGGUUAGAGAGAAAAAAGAUUGGGACAAUCAUGUAGGCCAAUGACAUAAUAAAUCAUUAUAACUUAUUGUAUAUACUUGAGGCAUAAUAGUUGUACCUUUUUUCUAUGCAUUACUAUUGUAGUAGCAAUAGAUUUAUUUAUUAUUAUUAUUCUACUAAUGCCUCCUUUAGACUGAGUGGGUGUGGACCGCCACAUUUCACAGUUGGGCCUAUUGGAAACUUAUUUUAUGUUCUCAGCCCAUUGUUGUUGAUAUCUUUUUCAGAGCCAUCUAUCGCUAGUGAUGCGCGGGAUCGUGCAAGAGCGUUGCGAGUUAGAUAGACCGUGUUAGUCAGUCUAGAGGGUACUAUAAUUUGUUAGAAUAACAAACAUGUAAUAUGUUAGGAUGCAAUGAGUAGUAACCUUUAAAGAAGUUUUGAUUGUAUUAGUUUUAAUUUAGAAGUUAAACACUCUGAUUCUUUAUUGUACUCAUUUCAUGUAUCUGUUGUACAGGUUGGUGCAUAUUUUCGCUUCGUACAGAUAAUGGGAACCUUGCCCGUUUGGCGGGUCUAUUGCACAUGGGCCAUGACACUCAGAAUCCAACUUUCUUGAUAAACUCCAAUCUUAUUCAAAACUAAUCACGAUAAUCUGUAAGAGCUAAAGUGAGCUCAGCUACUUGUUUACUCAUGUAGAGUCACGCCCCAGCAAGUGGGUACGUCCUCCAGAGGUGUAGCCCUACAGUUGGCAUAUACUCGAGCCCUCGAGCCAUUUUAGUUGGGCAUCGGUGCAGGUUUGUUCGUUUUUGGCAGCUCGCCAGACACAACGCAGGCUUAACCAGACUCGGAGCUGGUCGCCGUAAUUGGGCAACAUUGACAAAGUGAUUUAACACAAUUGACGCAUAAUGUUCUAGAUUAGAUGAUUGAUAUAAAGGCUUACUCUUAUAGAGGCAUAAUUGUAUCGUCACAUUCAUUAGAAUAAUCAAUCUAUUGUUGUUGCGAAAGGUCUCUUUUCUCUGAUCGAUCGCUUAUGCAAUAUUUAUAAUUUGUUAAAUUCGAAUCAGAAUCCAACCUUUCUAAUAAACUCAAAUCUUAUUUGGAAACUGAAUCACGAAGAUUUGGGCUGAAUCAAACCAUCUAAUAAUUGAAUCUUGAUAAUUUUGGCCAAAUAUUAGAACUGCGAAAUGCUUUUCGCUCGCCAAACAAUGAAUGACAAAGAUUGCCUUCUACUAUUUUCAUCCAAUCAAUUAAUUUGUAUUUUACUCCUCCACGAGCUUUCCUUCGAGAAGAAAAGCCCCACCGCUGCAUUCUAAUUCAGGCCAACUUGGUCCGUGACUGUCUGAAAUAUAAAAAGGCAGACAAGGACUUCACAUGGUAUCUUAGUCCAACUACAUCACAUUAUAUGCAAUAAUUAUCCGAUAGCUUCGACAAAGAAAGGAGUUAAAGAAGCUAAAACCAAAAGGAAGCUGCUCUUUUUCUGAGAAGUUUGGCAAAGAUAACGCCUCUCACUUUCUAAAGUCGCCAACAAUAUGAUGACAAGCGAGAGUGCCUAGCAUGUUAAUGAAAGCAAAAAAAAUUUCUUUAAAGUACACCAGUCUUCACUUUUAAAAAGAGAGAUGUUAUUGGCAUGUUAUUGAUGGUGUGAUACAAAUAUGACACGUUAAACUUACUCGAUAAAAGUGAUCCGUGCUAUUAUUAUUGCUAAUUAAUUUUUAUUCUUACUAAAUAUACAAUAUUGAAAUAUUUUUUUAGCUAUUUAAAGUUUUUGAAAAUUAAUAAUUAUUUUAUAUACUAUUAGAACUGAAGAUCUGUUAAGCUCCUAAUUUUUUUAUAAAUCCUAUUUCUUUAUCCAUUUAAUUUAGUUUUCAGCUUAAACUUGUAAAGAGGAUUAUGGUUGUUUACAAGUAUUAAAAACCAAAAAACACAGGCCAAUUUGCAUAAAAAAUCCACUAGUUUUGGGGUUUUGCAAAACCGGGCCAUCUUUUUCGUUUUUACAGAUUCGGUCCGCUUUUUCGGCAAUCUGACCAAAAUACCCUUAUUAUUUUUUCUCUCUUCUCUUUCUUUCUCCUCUUCUUUUGUCUUGUUCAUUUUUUUUCCCUCUCGCCGAAGAAAGCAACGGAGGCAAAGGCAGAAGCGGAGGCGGAAACGGCCGGCCUCGCCUCUCACCUUUAUGCUCUCGCCCUCGCCUUUGCCCUCGCCCGCGCACCCCCCACCUUCCUCGCCUCCGACCCCACCGAGUCCGUGCCGCGAUUUUUUUUUUCCUCUCCGACUCUCUUCCACCGUCCCUGACAACGACACAUCUCUCGACUUUCCCCGCCCUUCUUGUCUUCUCCCUCUCUCUCCUCCUUUGCCGCCUCCGAUGGCGAUGCAUCUUCACCGACGUCGAUACCGUGGAGAUCGCUGCAGCGCUGCAGCCUCGGAGCGGGGGGUCCUUAGCGGCAUCGUCGCCGACGCCGUGGCCGUUGACAGAGAGGGGUAAUAAAAAAAAAUUAUAGAAAAAGCAAGAAAAAAAAUAAAGAAAAAAAAUUAUAGAAAAAUAAGAUGAAGAUGAAAUUGCACCGUUAAAAAAAAAUUAUACUAUUUUAAAAAAAUGUUGCACUAUUAUGGACAUAAGUUGUACUACUUAAGAUGUAAACUGCAGCUUUAAGAUGAAAAUUACACUCUUUAAACAAAAAUUGCACUCUUUGAGAGAUAUUUACACUGUUUCUCCUCUUAUUGCACUCUUUCAGAUGUAAACUGUAUACAUUAAGAUGAAAGUUACACUCUUGGAGAGAUAUUUACACGGUUUCUCCUCUUGUUGUACUCUUUCAGAUGUAAACUGCACCCCUUUAAGAGAGAUUUAUACUGUUUCUCCUCUUGUUGCAUUGUUUCUCCUCUUGUUGCACUAUUUCUUCUCUUAUUACACUAUUUUUCUUCUUAAACUGCACCCUUUAAGAGGAGAAACUGUAUAACAAGAGGAGAAACAGUUAUAAAUAUCUCUUAAAGGGAUGUAGUUUACAUUUCAAAGAGUGCAAGAAGAAGAGAAACAGUAUAAAUAUCUCUCAAAGAAUGCAACUUUCAUUUAAAGAGUGUAAUUUUUAUCUUAGUGGGUGCAGUUUAUAUCUGAAAGAGUGCAAUAAGAGAAGAAACAGUGCAAAUAUCUCCCAAAGAGUGUAAUUUUAAUUUAAAGAGUGUAAUUUUCAUCUUAAAGCUGCAGUUUACAUCUUAAUAGUGCAACGUUCUUUUAAAACAAUGCAAUUUUAUUUUAACGGUGCAAUUUCAUUCUCAUUUUUCUUUUUCUAUAAUUGUUAAUCUUUAUUUUUUUUCUUACUUCUUCUAUAUUUUUUUUUGUCACUCGUCUCUACCAACGCCGGCGACAACGCCACUAAGAACCCCUGCUUCGAGGCUGCAGCGCCGCAGCGACCUCUACGGUGUCAGCGUCGACGAAGAUGCGUCGUCGUCGAAGGCAGCAGAGGAGGAAAGAGAGGGAGAGGACAAAAAGGGCGGGGAAGGGCAAGAGUGGCGUCGUCGUCGGAGAUGGUGGAGGAGUUUCGGAGAGAAAAAAAAAAGAGUUGCGACGCAACCUCGGUGGGGUUGGAGGUGAGGAAGGUGGGGGUGCACGGGUGAGGGCGAGGGCGAGAGCAUGAGGGUGAGAAGCGAGACGGGCCGUUUGCGCUUCCGCCUCUGCCUCCGCUGCCUCUUCGGGGAGAGAAAAAAAAAUGAACGAGAGAAAAAAAGAGGAGAGAGAAAGAGGAGAGAGUAAAAAUAAUAAGGACAUUUUGGUCAGGCAGCUGAAAAAGCGGACCGAAUCUGUAAAAAUAAAAAAGAUGGUCCGAUUUUGCAAAAGCCCAAAACUAGUGAAUUUUUUAUACAAAUUGGGCAAAAAUUCAAGCCCUUUUUCUUUUGUACUAUCAAAUAUUUUCUAGUUGUACGUGAUGUUUGGUUGGAUAGCAAU